rnacentral:rRNA from 1 species
GAUGAACGCUGGCGGCGUGCCUAAUACAUGCAAGUCGAGCGAACAGACGAGGAGCUUGCUCCUCUGACGUUAGCGGCGGACGGGUGAGUAACACGUGGAUAACCUACCUAUAAGACUGGGAUAACUUCGGGAAACCGGAGCUAAUACCGGAUAAUAUAUUGAACCGCAUGGUUCAAUAGUGAAAGACGGUUUUGCUGUCACUUAUAGAUGGAUCCGCGCCGCAUUAGCUAGUUGGUAAGGUAACGGCUUACCAAGGCAACGAUGCGUAGCCGACCUGAGAGGGUGAUCGGCCACACUGGGACUGAGACACGGUCCAGACUCCUACGGGAGGCAGCAGUAGGGAAUCUUCCGCAAUGGGCGAAAGCUUGACGGAGCAACGCCGCGUAAGUGAUGAAGGUCUUCGGAUCGUAAAACUCUGUUAUUAGGGAAGAACAAAUGUGUAAGUAACUAUGCACGUCUUGACGGUACCUAAUCAGAAAGCCACGGCUAACUACGUG